rnacentral:rRNA from 1 species
UGGGGAAUUUUGCACAAUGGGGGAAACCCUGAUGCAGCGACGCCGCGUGAUUUAGAAGGCCUUCGGGUUGUAAAAAUCUUUUCUAUGGGAAGAAAAUGACAGUACCAUAGGAAUAAGGACCGGCUAAUUACGUGCCAGCAGCCGCGGUAAUACGUAAGGUCCGAGCGUUGUCCGGAAUCAUUGGGCGUAAAGGGUACGUAGGCGGGUAAGCAAGUUAGAAGUGAAAUCCUAUAGCUCAACUAUAGUAAGCUUCUAAAACUGCUCAUCUUGAGGUAUGGAAGGGAAAGUGGAAUUCCUAGUGUAGCGGUGAAAUGCGCAGAUAUUAGGAGGAAUACCGGUGGCGAAGGCGACUUUCUGGCCAUAACCUGACGCUGAGGUACGAAAGCGUGGGUAGCAAACAGG